rnacentral:rRNA from 1 species
GAUUGCCCCAGUAACGGCGAGUGAAGCGGCAACAGCUCAAAUUUGAAAUCUGGCCCCAGGCCCGAGUUGUAAUUUGCAGAGGAUGCUUUUGGCGCGGUGCCUUCCGAGUUCCCUGGAACGGGACGCCAUAGAGGGUGAGAGCCCCGUACGGUUGGACACCAAGCCUUUGUAAAGCUCCUUCGACGAGUCGAGUAGUUUGGGAAUGCUGCUCUAAAUGGGAGGUACAUUUCUUCUAAAGCUAAAUAUUGGCCAGAGACCGAUAGCGCACAAGUAGAGUGAUCGAAAGAUGAAAAGCACUUUGAAAAGAGGGUUAAACAGCACGUGAAAUUGUUAAAAGGGAAGCGCUUGUGACCAGACUUGCGUCCGGUGAAUCACCCAGCUCUCGCGGCUGGGGCACUUCGCCGGCACAGGCCAGCAUCAGCUUGCCGUCGGGGACAAAAGCUUCAGGAACGUGGCUCCUCUCGGGGAGUGUUAUAGCCUGUUGCACAAUACCCUUCGGCGGGCUGAGGUACGCGCUCCGCAAGGAUGCUG